CAAUCCCUGGCCUUAAUCCUCUUGGCUCCAAAGCUGGGGUUUGGCCCCGGUGCUUCUCCAGGGAAGGGGAGGGGCAAAGUGGAGCCAUGGUGGAGCCAGGUGACCUUGGGAUUAUCUGAGAGGCUGUAAAGCGUACCUUUGGUCAGUAGCUGGGGAGGGGACGGUCCUCCUUCCUGCACACCUUCUCCAUUUGUCUCCACCCAAGGCCUCCUCACCCCUCUCCUACCUGAGGACUUUGAGCCAUGGUGAAGAUAGAGCCCUGCAGGAAACUCCACAUCGGUCCUUACAUAUGCUGAGCAACAGCUUUACCACACGGCUAUCUGAAUCCAGGAUUGCUGGAGACGGACAAAUAGUUCCAAGCACACACUACGCAGUGGGACAUUGGCAUCCAAUACAGUUCAACUGAAGCCUCAUGAGGUGAAAUCGACUUACAGCCCCACAGCCAGUCGGACUUUUCUCCUAUUUGCCACUUGACGUAAUUAACUUGGAAUGUAAGCUUUAGUUCAGAAUAAGUUUUUGUUUUGGGAGGAGGGUCUUGUCCCAGGAUGGUUUCAAAGUCCCUAUGUGGCUGAACAUGAAUUAAACUCUUGAUCCUUCUGCCUCUUCCUUUGGGGUACUCAUUCAAUGAGCGAGACGAUACUCAUUCAAUAUUCUUUCCAGAUCUAGUAGGGUGGGUACUACACUGUCACUUGGUGAAACUUGCUUACAGGAAUUCAAAGAGGCCAAAUCCUAGACAUGAUGCCAC